AUGGGCUUGAUUCACAAGAAAGGUCUCGAUGGAUGCAUCCAACACGGGUUGGGGAGCUCUGUGUGAAAGCAGACCGACCUUCGAUUCCUGGUCGAAUACAGAAGGCUGGCUACACAUCAACUGCUUCAAGAUGAUGGCAGUAUGUCGAGCCCUUCAAACCUUCUUACUGGACCUGAAGGGACACCACGUGCUAGUCCGCUCAGACAGCAUGACAGUGGUGUCCUACAUAAAUUGCCUGGACAGGCUCAACUCAAAAUGCCUUUUCGAGAUGGUAAAAUGCCUCUUGGCGUGGGCACAUCUCAACCUGCGUUCAUUGAAGAGAGCACAUGUGCUUGGCAUUUUGAACCGAGGAGCAGACAUGCAAUCUCGAAGCAACAUCGCCUCAGAGGAGUGGAUGCUCCACCCACAAUCGGUUCAGAAAAUCUGGGAGAUCUUUGGCAGGGCAGAGGUCGACCUCUUUGCCUCAAAAGACAACUGUCAUUGCCCAACUUAUUUUUUGAAGAGUGAGGACGCCUUGGCCCACGGUUGGCCCAACCUCCUCCUAUAUGCUUUUCCCCUGAUCGUUAUGAUCACUCAGGUAAUCAGACGAGUCAGGGAACACAGACACAGACUCCUUCUGGUGGCCCCGCUCUGGAGGAACCAGCUUUGCGUUUCAGAGCUGUCUCAGCUACUGACAGCAGUCCUGUGGCCUAUUCCCCUGAGGAAGGACCUUCUCUCUCAGGCAAACAGGACGAUUUGGCACCCCCAGCUUGAGCUGUGGGCUCUGCAACUCUGGGCUCUCAAUGGGAAUCAGUAGAUCUCCUUGAGAGAGUCCUGAAUACUAUCUCACAGGCUAGAGACCAUCUACAUGACGCCUCUAUGCCCUUAAGUGUUCGGUCUUUUCCGCCUGGUGCACAACCUGUGGCAAAGACCCAGUUUCAUGUGACAUAUUGGUGAUAUUGUCCUACCUACAAGAGCUGUUGGACAAGGGCCACUCCCCUUCCACGCUCAAGGUCUGUGUGGCAGCUAUAGCAUUUUUCCAUGGUCCUAUUGUCGGACAGUCUGUGGGCCGAAACAACUUAGUUUUCCGUUUCCUGAGAGGAUCCAGGAGGCUCUAUCCGCCUCGAUCCCCCACAGUCCCUGUUUGGGACCUGCCCACAGUUCUGAGAGCCCUCAG
ensembl:lncRNA